AAUUUUGGACAUUGGGGGAAACCCUGAUCCAGCCAUCCCGUGUGUAUGAUGAAGGUCUUCGGGUUGUAAAGUACUUUUGGCAGAGAAGAAAAGGCAUCUCCUAACACGAGAUACUGCUGACGGUAUCUGCAGAAUAAGCACUGGCCAACUACGUGCCAGCAGCCGCGGUAAUACGUAGGGUGCAAGCGUUAAUCGGAAUUACUGGGCGUAAAGCGUGUGUAGGCAGUUCGGAAAGAAAGAUGUGAAAUCCCAGGGCUCAACCUUGGAACUGCAUUUUUAACUGCCGAGCUAGAGUAUGUCAGAGGGGGGUAGAAUUCCACGUGUAGGAGUGAAAUGCGUAGAUGUGUGGAGGAAUACCGAUGGCGAAGGCAGCCCCCUGGGAUAAUACUGACGCUCAGACACGAAAGCGUGGGGAGCAAACA
rnacentral:rRNA from 1 species